rnacentral:rRNA from 1 species
GGACGCAAGUCUGAUGAGCAACGCCGCUGAAUGAAGAAGGGUUUCGGCUCGUAAAGCUCUGUUGUUAAAGAAGAACGUGGGUAAGAGUAACUGUUUACCCAGUGACGGUAUUUAACCAGAAAGCCACGGCUAAUUACGUGCCAGCAGCCGCGGUAAUACGUAGGUGGCAAGCGUUAUCCGGAUUUAUUGGGCGUAAAGCGAGCGCAGGCGGUCUUUUAAGUCUAAUGUGAAAGCCUUCGGCUCAACCGAAGAAGUGCAUUGGAAACUGGGAGACUUGAGUGCAGAAGAGGACAGUGGAACUCCAUGUGUAGCGGUGAAAUGCGUAGAUAUAUGGAAGAACACCAGUGGCGAAGGCGGCUGUCUGGUCUGCAACUGACGCUGAGGCUCGAAAGCAUGGGUAGCGAACAGGAUUAGAUACCCUGGUAGUCCAUGCCGUAAACGAUGAUUACUAAGUGUUGGAGGGUUUCCGCCCUUCAGUGCUGCAGCUAACGCAUUAAGUAAUCCGCCUGGGGAGUACGACCGCAAGGUUGAAACUCAAAAGAAUUGACGGGGGCCCGCACAAGCGGUGGAGCAUGUGGUUUAAUUCGAAGCUACGCGAAGAACCUUACCAGGUCUUGACAUCUUCUGACAGUCUAAGAGAUUAGAGGUUCCCUUCGGGGACAGAAUGACAGGUGGUGCAUGGUUGUCGUCAGCUCGUGUCGUGAGAUGUUGGGUUAAGUCCCGCAACGAGCGCAACCCUUAUUACUAGUUGCCAGCAUUAAGUUGGGCACUCUAGUGAGACUGCCGGUGACAAACCGGAGGAAGGUGGGGACGACGUCAAAUCAUCAUGCCCCUUAUGACCUGGGCUACACACGUGCUACAAUGGAUGGUACAACGAGUCGCGAGACCGCGAGGUUAAGCUAAUCUCUUAAAACCAUUCUCAGUUCGGACUGUAGGCUGCAACUCGCCUACACGAAGUCGGAAUCGCUAGUAAUCGCGGAUCAGCAUGCCGCGGUGAAUACGUUCCCGGGCCUUGUACACACCGCCCGUCACACCAUGAGAGUUUGUAACACCCAAAGCCGGUGGGGUAACCUUAUCUAUGUGUAGCUACACACGUCUAAAG